UACGUAGGGUGCAAGCGUUGUCCGGAAUUAUUGGGCGUAAAGAGCUCGUAGGCGGUCUGUCGCGUCGAAUGUGAAAAUCCGGGGCUCAACUCCGGGCUUGCAUUCGAUACGGGCAGGCUAGAGUUCGGUAGGGGAGACUGGAAUUCCUGGUGUAGCGGUGAAAUGCGCAGAUAUCAGGAGGAACACCGGUGGCGAAGGCGGGUCUCUGGGCCGAUACUGACGCUGAGGAGCGAAAGCGUGGGGAGCAAACAGG
rnacentral:rRNA from 1 species